CGCGCGCGGGGUGGAGGACCCCCGAGGAGAACACGGCCCUGGGCACAGCUACCCCGCCUCCCGCCUCCCGCCUCGGGCCUGCAGGUCACUCGUGUUUCCCGGCCACGAGGCGGGCCCAGGGGUGCACGAUCCUCUCCGGGCCCCCCCCCCUCACCACCCGCAACUGGCGCCCGAGGGGACGGGAGGGCGGCACCAGUGCCCAUCGCCUCAGGUGACCGUGUCCGGCACGAGGGUUGGUCACUAGAAGGACCCCCGGCGGCCCGAGGCUUCCCCAGAAAAUACACCCACGAUGAUGGAUCCUACUGAAACUAGUGAAGUGAAUUCUACGUCAAGAAAAUUGAUGGGAGCUGGUGCCACCAGGGAAGGAGGACUGUUUCACCCUCUUUAAGAAACCCCUCCUCGGAG